rnacentral:rRNA from 1 species
UACGUAGGGGGCAAGCGUUGUCCGGAAUUAUUGGGCGUAAAGAGCUCGUAGGCGGUCUGUUGCGUCCGCUGUGAAAACCCGGGGCUUAACCCCUGGCUUGCAGUGGAUACGGACAGACUAGAGGUAGGUAGGGGAGAAUGGAAUUCCUGGUGUAGCGGUGAAAUGCGCAGAUAUCAGGAGGAACACCGGUGGCGAAGGCGGGUCUCUGGGCCGAUACUGACGCUGAGGAGCGAAAGCGUGGGGAGCGAACAGG